rnacentral:rRNA from 1 species
GACGAACGCUGGCGGCGUGCUUAACACAUGCAAGUUGAACGGAAAGGCCCUGCUUUUGUGGGGUGCUCGAGUGGCGAACGGGUGAGUAACAUGUGAGUAACCUGCCCUUGACUUUGGGAUAACUUCAGGAAACUGGGGCUAAUACCGGAUAGGAGCUCCUGCUGCAUGGUGGGGGUUGGAAAGUUUCGGCGGUUGGGGAUGGACUCGCGGCUUAUCAGCUUGUUGGUGGGGUAGUGGCUUACCAAGGCUUUGACGGGUAGCCGGCCUGAGAGGGUGACCGGCCACAUUGGGACUGAGAUACGGCCCAGACUCCUACGGGAGGCAGCAGUGGGGAAUAUUGCACAAUGGGCGGAAGCCUGAUGCAGCAACGCCGCGUGCGGGAUGACGGCCUUCGGGUUGUAAACCGCUUUCGCCUGUGACGAAGCGUGAGUGACGGUAAUGGGUAAAGAAGCACCGGCUAACUACGUG